rnacentral:rRNA from 1 species
CACGUAGGGCGCGAGCGUUGUCCGGAAUUAUUGGGCGUAAAGGGUGCGUAGGCGGCGCGGUAAGUCGGGUGUGAAAUCUCGGGGCUUAACUCCGAAACUGCAUUCGAUACUGCCGUGCUCGAGGACUGGAGAGGAGACUGGAAUUUACGGUGUAGCGGUGAAAUGCGUAGAUAUCGUAAGGAAGACCAGUGGCGAAGGCGGGUCUCUGGACAGUUCCUGACGCUGAGGCACGAAGGUCAGGGGAGCAAACGGG